UACAACUUUCAGCAACGGAUCUCUUGGCUCUCGCAUCGAUGAAGAACGCAGCGAAAUGCGAUAAGUAAUGUGAAUUGCAGAAUUCAGUGAAUCAUCGAAUCUUUGAACGCACCUUGCGCUCCUUGGUAUUCUGAGGAGCAUGCCUGUUUGAGUGUCAUG
rnacentral:rRNA from 1 species